GUUGAACGCUGGCGGCGUGCCUAAUACAUGCAAGUCGAGCGAACAGACGAGGAGCUUGCUCCUCUGACGUUAGCGGCGGACGGGUGAGUAACACGUGGAUAACCUACCUAUAAGACUGGGAUAACUUCGGGAAACCGGAGCUAAUACCGGAUAAUAUAUUGAACCGCAUGGUUCAAUAGUGAAAGACGGUUUUGCUGUCACUUAUAGAUGGAUCCGCGCCGCAUUAGCUAGUUGGUAAGGUAACGGCUUACCAAGGCAACGAUGCGUAGCCGACCUGAGAGGGUGUUCGGCAACACUGGAACUGUGACACGGUCCAGACGCCUACGGGGGGCAGCAGUAGGGAAUCUUCCGCAAUGGGCGAAAGCCUGACGGAGCAACGCCGCGUGAGUGAUGAAGGUCUUCGGAUCGUAAAACUCUGUUAUUAGGGAAGAACAAAUGUGUAAGUAACUAUGCACGUCUUGACGGUACCUAAUCAGAAAGCCACGGCUAACUACGUG
rnacentral:rRNA from 1 species